AUGAACGCUAGCUACAGGCUUAACACAUGCAAGUCGAGGGGCAGCAUGGUCUUAGCUUGCUAAGGCCGAUGGCGACCGGCGCACGGGUGAGUAACGCGUAUCCAACCUGCCUUACACUCUUGGACAGCCUUCUGAAAGGGAGAUUAAUACAAGAUGUUAUCAUGAGUAAGCAUUUUCGCAUGAUUAAAGGUUUACCGGUGUAAGAUGGGGAUGCGUUCCAUUAGAUAGUAGGCGGGGUAACGGCCCACCUAGUCUUCGAUGGAUAGGGGUUCUGAGAGGAAGGUCCCCCACAUUGGAACUGAGACACGGUCCAAACUCCUACGGGAGGCAGCAGUGAGGAAUAUUGGUCAAUGGACGAGAGUCUGAACCAGCCAAGUAGCGUGAAGGAUGAAGGUUCUAUGGAUUGUAAACUUCUUUUAUACGGGAAUAAACGGAUCCACGUGUGGAUUUUUGCAUGUACCGUAUGAAUAAGGAUCGGCUAACUCCGUGCCAGCAGCCGCGGUAAUACGGAGGAUCCGAGCGUUAUCCGGAUUUAUUGGGUUUAAAGGGAGCGUAGAUGGGUUGUUAAGUCAGUUGUGAAAGUUUGCGGCUCAACCGUAAAACUGCAAUUGAUACUGGCAGUCUUGAGUACAGUUGAGGUAGGCGGAAUUCGUGGUGUAGCGGUGAAAUGCUUAGAUAUCACGAAGAACUCCGAUUGCGAAGGCAGCUUACUAACCUGUAACUGACAUUGAUGCUCGAAAGUGUGGGUAUCAAACAGGAUUAGAUACCCUGGUAGUCCACACGGUAAACGAUGAAUACUCGCUGUAGGCGAUAUACAGUCUGCGGCCAAGCGAAAGCAUUAAGUAUUCCACCUGGGGAGUACGCCGGCAACGGUGAAACUCAAAGGAAUUGACGGGGGCCCGCACAAGCGGAGGAACAUGUGGUUUAAUUCGAUGAUACGCGAGGAACCUUACCCGGGCUUAAAUUGCAACCGAAUAUGGCGGAAACGCUAUAGCUAGCAAUAGCGGUUGUGAAGGUGCUGCAUGGUUGUCGUCAGCUCGUGCCGUGAGGUGUCGGCUUAAGUGCCAUAACGAGCGCAACCCUUGCCGAUAGUUACUAACAGGUUAUGCUGAGGACUCUGUCGGGACUGCCAUCGUAAGAUGUGAGGAAGGUGGGGAUGACGUCAAAUCAGCACGGCCCUUACGUCCGGGGCUACACACGUGUUACAAUGGGGGGUACAGAGGGCUGCUACCACGCAAGUGGAUGCCAAUCCCAAAAACCUCUCUCAGUUCGGAUUGAAGUCUGCAACCCGACUUCAUGAAGCUGGAUUCGCUAGUAAUCGCGCAUCAGCCACGGCGCGGUGAAUACGUUCCCGGGCCUUGUACACACCGCCCGUCAAGCCAUGGGAGCCGGGGGUACCUGAAGUGCGUAACCGCAAGGAGCGCCCUAGGGUAAAACUGGUGACUGGGGCU
rnacentral:rRNA from 1 species